rnacentral:rRNA from 1 species
ACACCCUACGGGAGGCAGCAGUGGGGAAUAUUGGACAAUGGGCGCAAGCCUGAUCCAGCCAUGCCGCGUGAGUGAUGAAGGCCCUAGGGUUGUAAAGCUCUUUCACCGGUGAAGAUAAUGACGGUAACCGGAGAAGAAGCCCCGGCUAACUUCGUGCCAGCAGCCGCGGUAAUACGAAGGGGGCUAGCGUUGUUCGGAUUUACUGGGCGUAAAGCGCACGUAGGCGGACUAUUAAGUCAGGGGUGAAAUCCCGGGGCUCAACCCCGGAACUGCCUUUGAUACUGGUAGUCUUGAGUUCGAGAGAGGUGAGUGGAAUUCCGAGUGUAGAGGUGAAAUUCGUAGAUAUUCGGAGGAACACCAGUGGCGAAGGCGGCUCACUGGCUCGAUACUGACGCUGAGGUGCGAAAGCGUGGGGAGCAAACAGGAUUAGAAACCCUGGUAGUCC